rnacentral:rRNA from 1 species
ACCAGACUCCUACGGGAGGCAGCAGUGGGGAAUAUUGCACAAUGGGGGGAACCCUGAUGCAGCGACGCCGCGUGGGCGAGGAAGUAUUUCGGUAUGUAAAGCCCUAUCGGCAGGGAAGAAGAAAUGACGGUACCUGAAUAAGAAGCACCGGCUAAAUACGUGCCAGCAGCCGCGGUAAUACGUAUGGUGCAAGCGUUAUCCGGAUUUACUGGGCGUAAAGGGAGCGCAGGCGGCGAUGCAAGCCAGGAGUGAAAGCCCGGGGCCCAACCCCGGGACUGCUCUUGGAACUGCGUGGCUGGAGUGCAGGAGGGGCAGGCGGAAUUCCUGGUGUAGCGGUGAAAUGCGUAGAUAUCAGGAGGAACACCGGUGGCGAAGGCGGCCUGCUGGACUGCAACUGACGUUGAGGCCCGAAAGCGUGGGGAGCAAACAGGAUUAGAUACCCGUGUAGA